GACGAACGCUGGCGGCGUGCUUAACACAUGCAAGUCGAACGGAAAGGCCCUGCUUUUGUGGGGUGCUCGAGUGGCGAACGGGUGAGUAACACGUGAGUAACCUGCCCUUGACUUUGGGAUAACUUCAGGAAACUGGGGCUAAUACCGGAUAGGAGCUCCUGCUGCAUGGUGGGGGUUGGAAAGUUUCGGCGGUUGGGGAUGGACUCGAGGCUUAUCAGCUUGUUGGUGGGGUAGUGGCUUACCAAGGCUUUGACGGGUAGCCGGCCUGGGAGGGUGACCGGCCACAUUGGGACUGAGGUACGGCCCAGACUCCUACGGGAGGCAGCAGUGGGGAAUAUUGCACAAUGGGCGGAAGCCUGAUGCAGCAACGCCGCGUGCGGGAUGACGGCCUUCGGGUUGUAAACCGCUUUCGCCUGUGACGAAGCGUGAGUGACGGUAAUGGGUAAAGAAGCACCGGCUAACUACGUG
rnacentral:rRNA from 1 species